rnacentral:lncRNA from 1 species
UUUAUAUUAUUUUUAAAUAUUUAAAUUUUAUAACUAAAAAUAAAAAUAUAUUUUAGAACUAUUACAAAAAUUUUUAAUAUUGAAAUCGCAUUUCUCGACACUCACUGUGCGCUUUACUUUUGAUUGUCUAACAUAUUUACCUGAGAGAAAUACAAAAUCUGGUGGAAAUAGCAACUCCACACCUUACUCGAAUGCUAAUCUCGUGGAAGAAUCCGAAAAUGCCACGUCAUCGGGCAGCUGCCCGCUUCGCUACGGGCACCGACUGGAGUUGCCAGCAAUAUUCGACACGUGUCUUUUAUGACGUACGCGUCUGCUAGCCGACCGGAAGUCACCUCGCUCAAUCGAUGUUCGACGCGUGUACUAGACAUAUGAUCGGCCGAAGCUCGCACUUCCAUGCCUUCCGACUACGUGGGCCAAUCAUAUCACCCCACGCCACCGGAUCUGACACGUAUGUGGCCCACCGAGAUAUAGGCUUUUAAAUACUUUCCGCUUUUUUGCUUUUUUUUCUUUAUAUGGGACACGUGGCUCGUACUGGGUGGGCCAUUAAAACUGGUAUCAUAGCAGUACGUGUACGUCAAGCGGUUGGCACGUAAGUGUUCUAGACCAGCUGUGGCCGGUCAUGCGUGGACGCGUGUGCGGCUUUCGGGGUUGAUUCUCGGCCUGUGCGGGACCACUGAAUUAAUUGAGCUUUUUUUUUUAACAAAUUGUACGUUCUGUGGGCCCGUUAUGGACUUGGAAUAUUAUUCUCGAGGUUAGUACUGACUUCUCUGAGAGGGGGGAAUUUUCAUUUCAAGCUCAGUGUGAAAAGUUCUUCAUAACUUUGUUGCUUGUGCUUUUGAAC